rnacentral:rRNA from 1 species
GACGAACGCUGGCGGCGUGCCUAAUACAUGCAAGUCGAGCGCUUCUUUCCUCCCGAGUGCUUGCACUCAAUUGGAAAGAGGAGUGGCGGACGGGUGAGUAACACGUGGGUAACCUACCCAUCAGAGGGGGAUAACACUUGGAAACAGGUGCUAAUACCGCAUAACAGUUUAUGCCGCAUGGCAUAAGAGUGAAAGGCGCUUUCGGGUGUCGCUGAUGGAUGGACCCGCGGUGCAUUAGCUAGUUGGUGAGGUAACGGCUCACCAAGGCCACGAUGCAUAGCCGACCUGAGAGGGUGAUCGGCCACACUGGGACUGAGACACGGCCCAGACUCCUACGGGAGGCAGCAGUAGGGAAUCUUCGGCAAUGGACGAAAGUCUGACCGAGCAACGCCGCGUGAGUGAAGAAGGUUUCGGAUCGUAAAACUCUGUUGUUAGAGAAGAACAAGGACGUUAGUAACUGAACGUCCCCUGACGGUAUCUAACCAGAAAGCCACGGCUAACUACGUG